UCCUCCUCUUCCUCGCCUCCUUUCCCCGCUCAGGGGCGGAUCCUGCCUCCCCGGCUUGGCCUUUGGGCGGGCUCCGGGUGUCGGUGAGAGCGCGCGGGGGCUGGAGCCUGCCAGGGCCCGGAGCCCGCCGCUGUUGCCGGGUGGACAAGAGCGACCAUGUUGUAGGAUCCUGUCCCCCCUAGUACAAUGGGUGAUCGAUCGUGGUGAGCGUGCUCAAGUGGACAAUAGUGCAGUGAUCCAUGAGGACCAGGCUUGCAUGGUGCUGGGGUGACAGAUCCACAAAGUCCUGAUGCAGCUGCAAGGUGUGCUACAGUACCAAUGGGAGAGGUGACAGAAUAUCGGGAUGCUGAACCUUGAUUUGGAGAAGGCCUACGACCAGGUAUCUCAUUGCUUCCUACUGAAGAUGCUGAGAAGAUGGGGGUCCCUGCAACCUUUGUCACCUGAAUAAAGGCACUUUACACCAA